rnacentral:rRNA from 1 species
AUUGAACGCUGGCGGCAUGCCUUACACAUGCAAGUCGAACGGCAGCGGGGGAGAAGCUUGCUUUUCCUGCCGGCGAGUGGCGAACGGGUGAGUAAUACAUCGGAACGUGCCCUGGAUUGGGGGAUAACUAGUCGACAGAUUAGCUAAUACCGCAUACGACCUGAGGGUGAAAGUGGGGGACCGCACGGCCUCAUGCUAUAGGAGCGGUCCAUGUCUGGUUAGCUGGUUGGUGGGGUAAAGGCCUACCAAGGCGACGAUCAGUAGCUGGUGUGAGAGGACGAUCAGCCACACUGGGACUGAGAAACGGCCCAGACUCCUACGGGAGGCAGCAGUGGGGAAUUUUGGACAAUGGGCGGAAGCCUGAUCCAGCAAUGCCGCGUGUGUGAAGAAGGCCUUCGGGUUGUAAAGCACUUUUGUCCGGAAAGAAAUGGCUCUGGUUAAUACCUGGGGUCGAUGACGGUACCGGAAGAAUAAGGACCGGCUAACUACGUGCCAGCCGCCGCCGUAA